UGGGGAAUCUUGGACAAUGGGGGCAACCCUGAUCCAGCCAUGCCGCGUGGGUGAAGAAGGCCCUAGGGUUGUAAAGCCCUUUCGGUGGUGACGAUAAUGACUGUAGCCACUAAAGAAGCCCCGGCUAACUUCGUGCCAGCAGCCGCGGUAAUACGAAGGGGGCUAGCGUUGUUCGGAAUUACUGGGCGUAAAGCGCACGUAGGCUGAUGGGUCAGUCAGAGGUGAAAUCCCAAGGCUCAACCUUGGAACUGCCUUUGAUACUGCUCAUCUUGAGACCAGGAGAGGAGAGUGGAAUUCCCAGUGUAGAGGUGAAAUUCGUAGAUAUUGGGAAGAACACCCGUGGCGAAGGCGGCUCUCUGGCCUGGUUCUGACGCUGAGGUGCGACAGCGUGGGGAGCAAACAGGAUUAGAUACCCCCGUAGUCC
rnacentral:rRNA from 1 species